GGGAUAGCCAUCUUACUAGAGGAUUUAAACCCUUCAGCUAUAGCUUCUGAAAUCCAUUUCUUUAAGUCAGCUUGUGGGGAACUUUUCUCACCCCAGUCUUUCGCUGCUUCCGUCAGGCAAGAUCUGCACAAAUUAUUUCCCGGAGGAGCCACUUGGUUGCAGUUUGCACAUCUGUUGGAUUUUUCUCUAUAUUUUCUGGGAGAAUCCUCUUGAGAUUUUUCUGGGCUGAAAUAAAAGG